rnacentral:rRNA from 1 species
AAGUCGAGGGGUAAGGCUCACUUCGGUGAGUACACGACCGGCGCACGGGUGCGUAACGCGGUAUGCAACCUACCUUUAACAGAGGGAUAGCCCCGAGAAAAUCGGGAUUAAUACCACAUAAACACCACAUUUGUUUCAAUGACAGCGUGGUUAAAGCUCCGGCGGUUAAAGAUGGGCAUGCGUGACAUUAGCUAGUUGGUAAGGUAACGGCUUACCAAGGCUACGAUGUCUAGGGGUUCUGAGAGGAUGAUCCCCCACACUGGUACUGAGACACGGACCAGACUCC